rnacentral:rRNA from 1 species
GACGAAUGCUGGCGGCGUGCUUAACACAUGCAAGUCGAACGGAAAGGCCUGCUUUCCCUUGUGGAUUGCGGGUACUCGAGUGGCGAACGGGUGAGUAACACGUGAGUGAUCUGCCCCCAACUUGGGUAUAAGCCUGGGAAACUGGGUCUAAUUCCCGAUAGGACUGCAGGGUGGUGCCUGUGGUGGAAAACGAUUUUCUAGUGGUUGGGGAUGAGCUCGCGGCCUAUCAGCUUGUUGGUGGGGUAAUGGCCUACCAAGGCGGCGACGGGUAGCCGGCCUGAGAGGGUGGACGGCCACAUUGGGACUGAGAUACGGCCCAGACUCCUACGGGAGGCAGCAGUGGGGAAUAUUGCACAAUGGGCGGAAGCCUGAUGCAGCGACGCCGCGUGGGGGAUGACGGCCUUCGGGUUGUAAACUCCUUUCGACCGCGAGGAAGCCACCUGGUUGGAAGGGUGGUGACGGUAGUGGUAGAAGAAGCACCGGCUAACUACGUG